GACGAACGCUGGCGGCGUGCUUAACACAUGCAAGUCGAACGGUAAGGCCUUCGGGUACACGAGUGGCGAACGGGUGAGUAACACGUGGGUGAUCUGCCCCCUACUCUGGGAUAAGCCUGGGAAACUGGGUCUAAUACUGGAUAUGACCAACUUCUGCAUGGUUGUUGGUGGAAAGUUUUUUCGGUAGGGGAUGAGCCCGCGGCCUAUCAGCUUGUUGGUGGGGUAAUGGCCUACCAAGGCGACGACGGGUAGCCGGCCUGAGAGGGCGACCGGCUACACUGGGACUGAGACACUGCCCAGACUCCUACGGGAGGCAGCAGUGGGGAAUAUUGCACAAUGGGCGAAAGCCUGAUGCAGCGACGCCGCGUGGGGGAUGACGGCCUUCGGGUUGUAAACCCCUUUCAGUCGGGACGAAGCGAGAGUGACGGUACCGAUAGAAGAAGCACCGGCCAACUACGUGCCAGCCGCCGCUGUAAAAC
rnacentral:rRNA from 1 species